rnacentral:rRNA from 1 species
GACGAACGCUGGCGGCGUGCUUAACACAUGCAAGUCGAACGGGUCUGCCCUGUUUUUUGCGGGGUGGGUCAGUGGCGAACGGGUGAGUAACACGUGAGUAACCUGCCCCUCACUUCUGGAUAACCGCUUGAAAGGGUGGCUAAUACGGGGUGUUCUGGCUGUGCCGCAUGGUGUGGCUGGGAAAGAUUCACUUUUGUGGUGUUUUGGUGGGGGAUGGGCUCGCGGCCUAUCAGCUUGUUGGUGGGGUGAUGGCCUGCCAAGGCUUUGACGGGUAGCCGGCCUGAGAGGGUGGGCGGUCACACUGGGACUGAGAUACGGCCCAGACUCCUGCGGGAGGCAGCAGUGGGAGGUAUUGCACAAUGGGCGGAAGCCUGAUGCAGCGACGUCGCGUGAGGGAUGGAGGCCUUCGGGUUGUGAACCUCUUUCGCCGGUGAAGAAGGUCCUGCUCUUUGUGGUGGGGUUGACGGUAGCCGGGUUAUGAAGCGCCGGCUAACUACGUG